rnacentral:SRP_RNA from 1 species
UCGUGCUAGGUGGGGCACUAGGGGUGCCCUGAACCCGAAACCCUCUUCACGCGGGACCGAAUUCCCCGCCCGAGGGGCGACAUGCCGCCGGGGCGCACAGCCCGGGUGGUGGACACGUGGCAUUGACGGUUGGGUCCUGCGCGGCGGAGCACCACGAAUCGGGUCAGAUCCGGGAGGAAGCAGCCCUAAAUGGAACGUUCCGGGUGCCGUAGGGUUGCCUGACCCGAGCCGGCGGCCAUCGCCGACGGCGGUGGCGGAGCCUCGAAGGCGGGGGCACGA